rnacentral:lncRNA from 1 species
UCACGGAUAUACAAAUGAUGAAAUUAAAAGAAAAGAAAAGAAAAUUAAAUUAUAUACAUAGAUAUAAGUGAUCAAAGAAUAAGGAUGCAUCAUAAUGGGUACGGGAAACAAAAACUCAUGACAUAAUUUUCUUAUACAGGGAUUAAUGAGAUAUUUAAACUAAAGAAUUAUAAACACCUAUAUCCAUGUUCAAAGAAUAAUUCUCCUAAUAUGAACAAGCAAAUGAACUAACUUAAAUGAGAUGCAAUUCUAAAUGACAUGAUUAACACAUAUAGAGGGUAGGGGAUAGAGGAUAAUAUAAUAGAAGAUAUCAUGCAAAUGAGAAAAGAUUCUAAAAUAAAAAUAUACAUGAAAAUUUAAUGGAUAUCAUACAAAAGAUGAAUCUAAUGCGUGAACUAUCUAAGGGUCUAGCGUUAGACUAGCCCAUUCCUAAAGAACCUUACUAGCGUUGGACUAGCAAGUGGGCGGAGGGAGAAACCACAACUAGCGUUGGAUUAGUGUGGUGACGUCAUGCAUUUAUUAUAAUCAAAUAAAUCAUAUAUCAAACAUAAUAAAAGCAAGUAAACACAUAAAUCACCUAAAGAACAUAGCACAUAAGCAUGAUAUCUAGAUGCAAGACCCUAAGAAUGUUUUAAACACAUAAACACACGAGCAUGCAAACACAUAAACAAAUAAAAAACGAAUAAAGACCUAACUAUUACAUUUGGGACCCAACUACAAUCUAAAGGGGGAAGAAAUGAAAUAAAGUAAUAACCUAACUAUUACAAUUUGGCAUUUAAUUGCCUCCCAAAUAAUCAUCAAAAUUAAAUUAAAUAUAUGAAACUUAAAACGAAUAAAACCAAACAACUAAAAGAAAAUCACUCAAAACAU